ACUAGACAUCCACGUAAAAACAAAUAAAUACAUCAUUUUUUAGAGCACCACGAGCUGGAGUGCGACGAAAUACCUUAUCAAAAUUGUGUAUUAUUAUGCGAGUUUGGGACACGAAGACAAUAAACUUGCCUUCAUUUCCUUCAUAAAAAACAUUAAUUUAAAAAAAAGUAGAGAGUUUUGUACUACCAGCGUUUUAUUGGUACUGCUGACUGACUGAAUUUUCUAUAUUUAAUAAUUUCGCAAGUGGGCUACUCGUAUCUUACCUGUCAGGUAAGCUAAAUGACUUUGCACAUGCGUACAAGAACCUACCUGUAGAUUGGAGAAGCGCUGGAAACUGUCACAAAACUAACCUAACAUAACACAGAAAAAAAAAUUUUGCAUAUUUUUUUCUGACCAAAAACUAGCCCCAACCUUUUUUCGAAAUACCUUUGGGCUCUCUUAAGAGCUAUCAUUUGGAAAAUUCAAACAUCAGAGGAAAUUGAAGAAAGGGGAAGAAGCAGAAGAAACCGAAGUAUUACUAGUUACCUACCCUACAAUUAAUGCAAUUACAAAAUUUGUUAAAUAUUAAUUGCUGAUUGUUUUUGAAUAAGCUUAAAAAUAUAAGAUAACAGCGACCUGUGAUGUAAUAAUUAAAUGAUUAAUUUUUUGUGAGUUUGACUUUAACAAGUGUUUUGCAACUAAUUUAGUCACAAUAAAAUUAAUUUUUUUACACC